rnacentral:rRNA from 1 species
UACGUAGGGUGCAGGCGUUAAUCGGAAUUACUGGGCGUAAAGCGUGCGCAGGCGGCUCCUUAAGUCAGAUGUGAAAGCCCCGGGCUUAACCUGGGGAACUGCGUUUGAAACUGGGGAGCUAGAGUGUAGAAGAGGGGGGUGGAAUUCCAGGUGUAGCAGUGGAAAUGCGUAGAGAUCUGGAGGAACACCGAUGGCGAAGGCAGCCCCCUGGGCUAACACUGACGCUCAUGCACGA